UUUUCCCGUUUCAUUUCAGGGCGAUGCAUUGGGUAUACCUUCUCACCUGAAAUCGAAAUUGUAUAAACUCAUGGGCCUAUUUUUCUCCUCAGAUCAAUGCUGCCUGAAAUCCCACCCUGCAGUUCAACCGUUGUUCCUUUAACAGUGGAUGGGUUCUGGCUGAUGGAGGUGCGUUUGGUGUUGCCGACUUGAGGAUGCGAUGACAGGGUCUUUCAUGAGGGAAACCUGAAAAGGGGGCAGAUGACUUCUUCUGUGGGGGUUUUGCUUUUGUUGCUGUUAAGCUUUGAUAGAAUGAUGCUAGAGAAGAAAUCUCUCUUCCAUUUCAACCUCGAGGUGCUUAUGGAUGACAGGUAAACAAAGGCUUACAAAAUGAUUGGGUAAGAGGGGAACAACUGCGGAUCGGAAGUGUGUCAAGGUGUUGCUGAACUGAGGCAACAUUAUACUAGAAACUGUGAUAGGAGGGCAUAGAUUUGUGCGUGAUAGUGGUUCUGAGCUUCUUCCAAAUACUGCAAUUGAGCCUUGGCGAGACAUUUUCUCACCAUCAUCGCAGAUGCCCAGGUUAACCUUCCCCAUUCCCCUUUGAUUCUCUCAACUCAACUCUUAUUCCUUUCCACUCUCACACGAACCAUCAGAAAUUGACAAUGCUUUGUCCUUAUCCCUUUCUCUCUCUUAAAUUAACAUAAGAUUUCUCUACUCCUCUUUGUGCAACAUUGAUCUGCUACAAUAUUGAUUAAUCAUUGGAAAAAAGCAUACCAAUGGAACAUGUAUGAUGAUAAAGGUAACAUUUGUGUUUGUCCAUGUCUGUGUGUUCUGAAUCAAAUUUGGUUCCUUUAUCAAAGUUUGGGAAUCAUUGUUUUGUUAUGGAUAUGCAGAGUAUUAGGGAGAGGGGUUUGAAGCUUUGUUUUCUUUAAUCUGUGGAGGGUUUGAAGCUUUGUUUUCUUUAAAUUACAAAACAUAAUAGGAAAAAUACCCAAGCUAGAGAUAGUGGAGAUGAAUGAAUUAAUUAUUUGGUUAAUCUGUGGAGGGUUAAAAAUAACAUUCCCUGAGGAAAAGAGUUUGGAAUGUUAUAUGACUGAGUAAGCAAAACAGAAUUGAAAACUGAAUGAGAGAGAAAGAGAGAGGGAGAUAGCAUAUCAUAUUUUUCUUCUCAUUUCAUUAGUCCUCCUUUGCUGCUAUUGUUUGUUUGUUUUUUUUUCCUAUUUCUUACGAGGUAACAUGGUUCACAUCAUUUUGCUGCAUAUAUUAGCCUUUAAUUAGAAAGAGUCCUGGAAGGUUAGUUCUAUUUUUUCAGGAUAGUCCUGUAUUUCUAUGAUUGGCUCCAAAAGGUACGUGAGUUAGAAACACAAUCACACAAUAACGGAAAUGAUGUUGAAAUGAGAUUCCAAACAAAAAUUCUUACCACUUCAUAGUAUACCUUUAUUGUAUUGAUAUUUAACCAUUGCAGUUUCUAUUUUGAUUGCUAAAUUUAACCACUUAAACGGGAGUUACGUUUUAGAAAUAGAGUCACUUUUAAUUAGAAAAUGAAGGUUUCACAGUUACAAAAAUGAAUGGUCAUAAUGCAUUAAGUGUGUUUAAGGGUCAUCAUUAUUUGUUAUGUAACCAGUGAGCAUUAGCUUUGCCUAUUUAGUAUUUUUAAUUGAGGUGUUAGUGUAUUGGUUAUGAAUUAAUGUGUUAAUAUGGAGUGCCUUCUCACCUGCAUGUGUAUGAUGUACGAAUGAAGUGAAAAAAGCUUUAGAGCAUAGAGUUCUUGAUAUCACAGUCACAGUGAAUCCUAAAAAGGUAUGCUCUGUGUUAAUGUAUUGUCUGAUAAUCAAUAUUUAUAUCCACCUAAGAAAUCAAAUGUAAUAUUUGAGGCAACAUUUUGCACUUUCAAUGAGAAUAUUUUUUAUAUUUUAAGAAGGGUUUCUUUGAAAUCCGCCAAGAAGAAGGCGAGAAGUUCAUGAGCCUCGUGGUAAAUCUUAUGAUCUUAUCCUGUAAUUUGUCAAGAUUUAACGAUUGGAGGUUAUCAUGUUAAAAUACCAACCAUCAAAAAGUUUUCCAUUUUUACAAGUAAGCAAUUUCUGAGUGUAGUUUGUAGACGGUUCUUGAUUGUAAUGUUGUGGUUGGAGAUCAACUUCAAAGAAAGUCAUGCUUGCCUGGAGUUAUGAUAGAGACAUGACCCAAUGCAUAAACUGAAAAGAGAUUGGUCUAUUGCAUGGCUUUUCUUAGUGCUGUUGUAGUUCUUUAGCCAGCACUAUUCUGAUAUUUUAAGAUUGAUGUUAUUUGACAAGGACCGGUGCAAAUAAAAAUUUUAUUUCUUAGUGAAGACCUUACACAAGGGGGUUUUCUUUCUACUAGGACUGGUGCCUUCAUCUUCCACUGGAACUGAUUCCAAAUGAGCCCAUAAGGAGAUACUGUGAAGCAUACACAAGGGGAACACGAACAUGUUUUGAUGUUAUCUUUCCAUUUCUGUGUAAAUCUAUAUUACUCUCUUUCUAUGUAAGUCUUGGGCUGUUAAAAUUGGUGUUCUGCUCACUUUUUCUUAAUUUGAUUUUGUAGCUUUCACUCC